rnacentral:piRNA from 1 species
CACCCAAUUCCGAAUCUCAUUGUUGCCUGU